rnacentral:tRNA from 1 species
GCGGUAUUGGUGAAGUGGUUAACACAUCGGUUUGUGGAUCCGACACACAUGGGUUCGAUUCCCAUAUACCGCC